rnacentral:rRNA from 1 species
GAUGAACGCUGGCGGCGUGCUUAACACAUGCGAGUCGAACGAAGCACCUCUCCCCAAGUUUCACACAGCUUGCUGGAGAUUGAGUCAGUUAAGCUUACUGAGUCUCCGACGGGUGAGUAACGCGUGUGUAACCUGCCUCGCUGAUACCGACUACAGAUUUAAACGACUGCUAAUACCGCAUAAUAAUAAGAUUUCGCCUGUUUUCUUCUUUAACGGUUUAUCUUUAUGAGAUGGACGCGCGUCGGAUUAGCUAGUUGGUGAGGUAACGGCUUACCAAGGGGACGAUCAGUAGCCGGAUUGAGAGAGUGGACGGACACACUGGGAGUGGGACACGGAGCAAACUCCUGCGGGAGGAAGAAGUGCGGAAUAUUGCACGAUGGGGGAAAGAAUGAUGCAGCGAGGCCGUAUGAGUGAAGAAGUAGUUAGGUAUGUAAAGCUGUAUGAGCAGCGAAGAUAGUGACGGUACCUGACUAGGAAGCCACGGCUAACUACGUG